UCAUACGGAGGAUCCAAGCGUUAUCCGGAAUUACUGGGCGUAAAGAGUUGCGUAGGUGGCAAAGUAAGCGAAUAGUGAAAUGAUACGGCUCAACCGUAUGUCCAUUAUUUGAACUACUUAGCUUGAGAAUGAGAGAGGUAGAUGGAAUUGCUAGUGUAGGAGUGAAAUCCGUAGAUAUUAGCAGGAACACCGAUGGCGUAGGCAGUCUACUGGCUCAUUUCUGACACUAAGGCACGAAAGCGUGGGGAGCGAACGGGAUUAGAUACCCCGGUAGUCCACGCCCUAAACGAUGGAUGCUAGCUGUUAGAAGUAUCGACCCUUCUAGUAGCGAAGCUAACGCGUUAAGCAUCCCGCCUGGGGAGUACGGUCGCAAGAUUA
rnacentral:rRNA from 1 species